rnacentral:rRNA from 1 species
UUAACGAGUGUUAGUAGAGGGUAGUAAUUAUGGUUUUUAUGGUUUAGUGUACCUUUUGUAUCAUGAUCUUUUGAGAGAAAAAUUAUUGUAUUGGUAUGUCCCGAAAAGUUUACGAUUUUGUUUAAUAUGGUUAUUAGCUAAUUUAUUAGCUAAUGAAUAUAUGGGUUGUUAAGAAAAUAUCCGGAGAUAUUAAAUAGGUUAGUGAUAAGUAAUUCGUGUAACUUUAUAGCUGGUUUAGUGACUUGUAUUUCUAAUUAUGAGGAAGAUUGAUUGUGUUGAUUUUCUUAAACAGAGAUGUGAUUAGAGCAUUUGAUUUUAUAGGCUGAGAUUAAAAUUGUCUUUGGUUAAUUAAGUUAUUUACAUAGCUUAAGUUAAAAAGGUUUUUGGAUAUCUUGUUUUUGAGUGGUCACUGUUUGUUUAAUUGGUUGUUUAAUGAUGAAGGAAUAAGUAGGUUACGGUUGGUUAAAUAUAUUAAUUGUUUUUUUUCUCGGUGUUGCUUUCAACUGUUUACUAAAAACAUUUCUAUUUGUUGAGUAAUAAAUAGUUAGACCUGCCCAAUGAGUAUUAGAUGAAUGGCCGCGACUUUUAGUCGUGCUAAGGUAGCAUAAUAUAUAGUUUCUUAAUUGGAGACUUGUGAAUGGUUUAAUGAAAGGUAACUAAAAUGAUAGUUUAAUCUGAAAUUAGUGCGGUGGUUAAGAAUCCAUUGUUUAGUUAUGGGACGGAAAGACCCCAAGAGCUUUACUUUGUUAGUUUUAUUUGGGGUAAAUGUAAAUAAUUCAUAUUUAUUUUUAGAUCCUGCAGGAUAAAGGAUUAAGUUACCUUGGGGAUAACUGAGUAAAGAACGGUGAGAGUUCAUAUUAAUCUGUUUGUAACUCCUCGAUGUUGGCUUGAAGUUCCUAUUCGGUGUAGAGGCUGAGGAUUUAGGAGGUCUGUCGACU